rnacentral:lncRNA from 1 species
CUGGACUUUCUUGGCCAGACCGUGACAGUGUGGAGUGCAAUGGAUGCAUGAAUUCACGUGGGCCAUGAGCUGCUGGAUGCAUUGUUGAUGGGCUGCUGCACGUGUUUCUCUGGGCCGUGACAUGUGAUGGAGCUUCCGUUGAAGAGCUGCAGGAUGCACCCCCCAAAGGUCCAUUUCCAUGUGCUUCUAAAUCCAACCAAUCACCGUGCAAGCUGCUGCUAGCGUUGCUUUCUCACAUGUUGUUGUGUGCACCGCUGCAGCCUUCUGUAAUUUGACUCCGUGUGUUUCAUUUCAGCCCAAGUGGAUGAAAGCACUGGACGUGAUUCUGCCAGAUUCCAAGACUCCUGCUGGGCCGUGUGAUUUUCUUUUUCUCAGCCCAAUGAGCCAGCUCCAAGUUGAGUCAAUUACCGUGGGCACCUCUCCAAUUGCUGCUGAACGUGUUUAUUUUGUAUAUGUUGGGUGCUAACGUGCAGCCUUUUGUAUGCAGCCUGUGACCAUUCCUUUUUAAAUGUGCAACAUUUUUUCUUUCACUCGCUACCCGUGAACUUCUCAUCAAAUACUUAUUUCCUAUGUGCCUUUUAGCCAAGCCAACUACCAGGUGCACCCCCAAAAAUAAAUUCACACCUCCUUUUCAUAAGCCCAAGGAAUAAAAUGACCAUGGUGCCCUCCUUCUUGAACACACUUGUUUUGUGGAGAGUCUUGAAUUGUGUGACAACUCUCAAUAUGUCCCAAAUUAUAUUUCCAAAAUUUUCCCUAAAAAUAAUAAUGUAAAUAAUUAGCUCAGAAAAUUCAAAUUAAUUAAAAUUUGAAUUUCCGGUCAAAAUAAGCACAAUUAGCAGAAACGGGAAAAUACCGGACAAUUAAACACAAUUCCUUGAUUAAUUUCGGUACAAUAAACUAAGUGAAGUCAAUAAAAUAUCGACUCAUCAAUAUGCACUGUUUGUACUUCUAGUGGCCACUACACUGAUGCUUGUCCUACCUUGCAGCACUCAGCUGCCUUUGAUGCGCCUGAGGCUUAUGCUACUAACAUCUUCA